rnacentral:lncRNA from 1 species
UUAUAGUGAUGCUCCACUUAAUGGAUUGGACUGUGUAUUGAUGGUGGAUGGCAAGGUGAUCGCGUAUGCUUCUCGCCAACUAAAGGAAUAUGAAAAGAACUACCCGACGCAUGAUUUGGAGUUGGCGGCCGUAGUGUUCGCAUUGAAGCUAUGGCGCCACUAUCUUUAUGGCGAGCGGUGUGAGGUGUACACGGAUCACAAGAGCUUGAAGUACCUGUUUAUUCAGAAGAAGUUGAACUUGAGGUAGCGCUGAUGGUUGGAGCUACUCAAGGAUUAUGAUCUGACGAUCCUCUACCACCCGGGCAAGGCUAACGUGGUGGCGGAUGCGCUAAGUAGGAAAUCGAUGGAAAACUUAGCGAUGCAUGUUGUGACUCAACCGCAGUUGAUCGAGCAGAUGAAGCAGUUGGAGUUGGAGAUAGUGACUCCUGACACACCCUUGAGAUUGAUGACCUUGGUAGUGCAACCUACUCUUUUGGAUAGAAUCGAAGAGAAGCAAGUUUCCGAUUUGGAAUUGCAAAAUAUUCGAGGUAAAAUGGUUGAUGGUUGCACCAGCGACUUCCUUUUGGAUGAUCAGGGAUUUAUGCGUUUCCGUGGGCGGAUUUGUGUACCCGCAGAUUCGGGGAUUAAAGAGGAUAUCCUUCAUGAAGCGCACCGAGCACCGUAUGCUAUACAUCCGGGAGGCACCAAAAAUGUAUAAGGACUUAAAGUUACUCUACUGGUGGCCCGGGAUGAAAAAGGAUGUUGGCGAGUUCAUUGCUAGAUGUUUAACUUGCCAACAAGUGAAAGCGGAGUACCGAGUUCCCGCAGGGAGGCUUCAAAGUUUACCUAUUCCUGUGUGGAAGUGGGAGAAGAUCACCAUGGAUUUCGUGACAGAAUUGCCUCGCUCUCAAGCAGGGCACGAUGCUAUUUGGGUGAUCGUGGAUAGGUUGACGAAGUCGGCGCACUUCAUACCUAUUCAUACGACUUGGACUGGAGAGAAGCUCGCACAAGUGUACCUUGAUGAGAUUGUGCGAAUUCAUGGAGUGCCUACAUCGAUCGUAUCCGAUCGCGACACGCGCUUCGUGUCUCACUUUUGGAGGAGUCCGCAGGACGCCUUAGGCACCCGAUUGGAUUUCAGUACAGCAUUCCACCCGCAGAGUGAUGGACAGUCGGAGCGCACUAUACAGACCUUAGAGGAUAUGCUCCGGGCAUGUGUGAUAGAUUUCCAGGGAGGAUGGUCGCAGCAUCUACCUAUGGCGGAGUUUGCUUAUAACAACAGUUAUCAAGCAAGUAUCAAGAUGGCGCCCUUCGAAGCACUUUUAUGGACGGAAGUGUAGAUCGCCACUCCAUUAGAGUGAAGUCAGCGAGAGACUGGCUUUAGACCCUGAUGUGCUCCAGGAAGCUGAGGACAAGGUUCGCAUUGCUCGGGAGCGACUUGGGACAGCGCAGAGUAGACAGAGGAGCUACGCUGACCGACGGCGGCGAAACUUGGAGUUCCAAGUUGGAGACCAUGUUUUCUUGGAGGUCUCGCCGACUAGAGGGAUAAAGAGAUUUGGGAUUCGGGGAAAGUUGAGCCCCCGUUUCAUUGGACCGUAUGAGAUCUUGGAGCGUGUAGGUCCGGUAGCGUAUCGACUUGCUCUACCACCGAACCUAUCCGGCGUGCACAACGUCUUUCACGUAUUGGUCCUUCGGAGGUACAUUCACGACCCAGCUCACGUUUUGGAGACUAUACCAGUGGAGCUGCGUGAGGAUUUGAGCUUCGAGGAGCAACCAGUGAAGAUUUUGGCUCGCGAGGUGAAGAAGCUGCGGAAUCAGGAUAUUCCGUACGUAAAGGUUCUUUGGAGCAACCACGGGGAGCGAGAGGCUACGUGGGAGCUGGAAAGCGCGCUGCAGGAGCGCUAUCCCCAUCUUUUUCAGAUGGAGCCGUGAGGUAUGCUUUGACUUUCGAGUUUCGCGGACGAAACUCCUUUUUAGGAGGGGUGAAUGUGACGCACUGGACCUUGCAAAUUGUGGGGUUCGAGUGAUUGAAUGGGUUCUUAGCGUUUCCAGACUUUCUGGUGGGUCGUUGACAGUGUUCCGACCUAUGGUUCGAGUCCCGAGAAUGGUGGUUUCAAAACCUUGCAUCAAAAUCUAAAAAGUUAUAUUUUGGUUAGCUCUCGGUUAGCCUUCUGCAGGCUGUGUACCGGUACGGGUUCGCUUGCUGUACCGGUACGGGGUUGAUGGCUGUACCGGUACGGAGUUGUGUACCGGUAGACAGCCCAUUUCCCAGCAAACCCGAGGCUCGGGUUUGGCGUUUCGUGGGUUGUGUACCGGUACACAAACCGGUGUACCGGUACGCAGUACAGAUUUUGGCUGUUUCGUGGAGGGGUAUUUUUGCAAUUGUUGCAACAUCUAUUUAAGCACACCCCAGCCCCUUGGAGGCUGUUUUGAGCCCUAGAACAGUGGAGAGCAAGGUAAGAGGAGUUCCCUUUGAUUUCUUCUCCAUUUUUGAUGGAUUUUGGUUGGUUUUGACCUCUCCUCUCUUCUCAACCUUGCUUUUUGUUGGGUUUCCUCCAUUGUUGAAGGCUUGGAGCUUGUAGAGGAGCUUGUUUGAGAGGAGAUGUUCAACUCCACUUGGUUUGGGACUUGGUUUUGAGCUUCUUGUGAGGUUGGUAAGCCUAAUCUUUUAUUAGGGUUAAAAAUGGGGAUUUUUGAUUUGAGAACUUUGGAACCAAAUUGAUUGGUUUAGAACUUUGAUUUAGGUUGGAUUUGAAGGAUUCUAACUCCCGUUUGGAGAUCGAGAGAGAUUUUUUAGCUUUCGGUGAGUUUUCUCCAACCUAGCUAUAGAAGCUUAAUGAUUGAGCUUAGCGGCGUUCGUUUCGGUUAGGUGACACUUGUUUUCAUACCUCUAGGGUGCUAGGAGGCUAGAGGACAACUUCGUCGGAGCAAACGAAGGGUUUCGUCUACCGUUGGUGGGUUUGACUUCAUGAAAAUGGGGCAAAAUGGCCCCUAUGUCUUUUAAACUUUUCGUAAAGUAUUCUUGAAUGCAAACUCAUGCUAAACAUGAUUUAUGUGAAUUUUAGAACACUUAACCUGCAUGCCUCAUGUAUCGUAAAAUUUGUACUCCAUAUAGUAGAGCUAUAUGUGUAGAUUGCAUGCAUUAUGGAUAGUGCUUAGUUUUGCAAGUUGAGAACAUGUCUCCAUGCUAGAAUUGAGUGAACUAUGCAUCAUGAACAUAUUAAUGCCAUGCUUGGGACUCGUUGAACAAAAGUGUCAUAAAGGGGCACUUGGAAUUAGCAAACUAUGAAAAUGCAACUUAGAGACAUGAUGAUAAGCCAUUGUACAUCUGCUAUAUUCCAUGUUAGAGACAUGAUGACACAGAGAUAGGCUAUUGAGAUACUUGAUAUAUUUCAUGUUUUAGACAUAAGGACUUGGUACAUGAGACAGAUCAUUGCUUGCUUGCCAUUGUGCUUAUUCGCACAUGCUUGUGAGGGUCGCUCCCUACAAGCUGGCACUCCGGAGAUAGCCAUCGCGACAUAUGCUCGCCCGUGCGGGAUUGGGCGCCGAAGUGGAUUGCCGUGGGGGAGGCUCAUCCCUAGAGUGGGGUUGUUGACUACCACGGGGCCAUUAGGCACGGCACAGGCCAGACAGCCUUCGGGUGGGUCUUAUAUGAUUGGGACUUAGUGACAGAACAUGCUAUGUGAACUUUAAAACUAUUAAAGUGGACUUGGACUAGAAUAGUAAACAAUGACAUCUUUACUGUUUUUGCAUCGAAGACAUCGGAUUGGUUGCAUUUCUAUGCUUAUGCAUGUCAUACACAUCCAUGUACAUUCAUGAUAUUGUUGCUUUAUUACUUAAGCAAAUCAUGCUAAGUAAAGACUCUAUGUUAUAGUAAGUUACAUUUUACUUACCUUUCGCUUUACUACAUUGUUAGUCACUGACCUCUUUUCGUAGCUUUUGGGCCUUGUGGCGCAGUUCACUGAAGUCAGUAAUUGCCCACUGGGAACUAUUUUUUAAUAGUUCUCACGCCCCAUUUUCUGGUUUUCUUUCAGAGCCUUCUGCACCGGCGGAGACACGGGAUCGCGGCAAGGGGAUCGCAUAACUAGCUAGCGAGGAGCGGUUCUUGCCUAGGUAGUUUGCUCUUUCUUUUUGUAGUUGAGAGAGAGUGAGAGAUUUUGUAUCCAUGUAUAGAGACCACCUAUGUAUCUACCUUUGGCACUUGUAUUUGGGAUUUUAUUUGUAUUACUUUAUGGUUUUAUUAGUGGAUUCCGGUUUUAUGCUCCUUUCUUUAUUGUAGAACUUAGUAUUAUAUCAUGCUCUUAUACUCCUAGUUGUCUUUUAUUACCGCUUUAUUUAUUGUUGUUUUUAGACGCCUUAUAUGUUUUAGAUGUAUGGCGGGUCUGGGCACGCGCCGUGCGGGCUUCCGCUGGGUCCCGGGGCGUGACAAACGCAUCCCUCGAUAGCAAGCUAGCUCGAGGCGAUACCCUUUCCGCGGUCCCUAGCCUCUCCCGGCGUGGAAGGCUCUGAAAUAAAAAUAUGAAACAAAGGGCGUGAGAAUUAUAAUUUAUAGUUCCCAGUGGGUAAUUACUGACCUCAGCUCAAUGCACCACUAGGCCCCAAAAGAAAAGGGUAAGUACGAUAAGCAACAAUAAUAAUAAUGAUAACCGCGGUAGGAAAGCAUGUAAGUUUACUAAGAUUACUAUACCAUAAGCAUUACGAUGUCAAUGUGUUGUACAUUUUCUCUUUCAUAAUGAAGUAUGUCCAAUGCAUAAAACAAUAUGUCCCGACAUGGCAACAAGUAAAUAUCAUGAUCCGUUCUAUCAAUGUAUGAUGAUUAUGAUCUGUCAUGGCAACCAAGUAUACUAUGAUGCAACAAGUAAACUGUCAAGUAUACUACAUGUCUCAACACUAUGCUAUAAGCAUGUCAAAGUAAUCCAACUACUAAGCCUAUCUAGUAGUGAUUGUCAUUUUCCUGUUCAAUGUCAUUGUUUCCAACAGGUUCUAGGACCUACAUAGUGUAGUCUAGCUUGUGCCACCUAAGUGUCGGUGGUAGCUCCAGCAUUCCCACUCUAGGAAUGAGUCUAUCCCUCCCGACCCCGUAGGUUUCUCGAUACCGUACGAGUGAACAUAAGUCGCGUAGGCCAUGUAAGGAAGUGAAUUCUCGAAAUUCGAGAGUUGUACUUCAUCCAGGAUCGGCUGAUUGUCGAGUGAGUAUCCUUCGGAAAAGCUAAAUAUGUCCAAGACACGAAAAGUGCCUUGGCAGAGAGUCCGCGAGAGCAAAUACGCGAAAAUCUGAACUUAGCAGUUUUGCUCUCAGGGACCGGUCCCUAGAGGGGAGGACCGGUCCCCAUAGCUGAGGGUUGCGGGUUUGCUUGAUGCAACCGGUCCCUGGGCUGGGGGACCGGUCCUCGUAGGUGAAACCCACGAGACAGAGUGAAAUUUGGCUAAGUCCUGAAAAUCGAGCUCUCGGAGACCGGUCUCUCAGGCGAGGACCGGUCUCCCGAAGACCGGUCUCUCGGGGAGAGACCGGUUCCCGAAUGCGAGGAGGCCUUCUGGCCGCGGGGACUGCUCUCAGGGACCGGUCUUCCCGACGAGGUAUCGGUCCCUCUGGGCGUAGAAUGCCCAGUGAAGGCAGGUUGAGAGAUGAAAAGUUAAGGAGCUAAACUGGUUUUUGUUACAAUAGAGGGGCUUAUGAGCCCACUCCCUCUCUUAUUCUCUCAUUUCUCUCUUUCCCUCUCUCACACUCUUUUGCUCUUUCUUUCUAGAAAAGAAAGGAGAAGAAGAAGAACAAGAAGGAGAGGAAGGAAAGGAAGAAGAAGAACAAGAUGAAGAAGGAGAAGGAGAUCAAGAGGAAGGCUUUGGACACCUUCAACUCCCUCUCAUCUUCUCUUUGGAGUAGCUCUAGAGGUAAGCUACUAAACCCUUGCUUCUAGAACUUAGGGUUUUGGGUUUUGAUGCUUUGGAAUGGGUCAAAUAGACCCUAAGCAUGCUUCUAAGUAGAUCAAUCUCAAGAAUCUAGGGAUUUAUUGAUGGUUUGCUAUAGGUGCAAACCUAGGGCUCCAAAAUGGGGUUUUUGAGAAAGUAUGAGAUUGAUCUCAUUUGAGGCCUCGUAAACCUAAUUGGUAUGUCACAAAACGUGGGGGCGAAGUCGAUUUUGCGAUUCGUCGAGUGGGAUUGGAGCUAUCGGCGAAAUACGGCCGAUUUAGCAUUGUCUUAGACCAAGGAAGGCUAAAGCCUUUUCGUAAAGUUCGCCGAGGGACAUUUCUAAAGCCUCUACGUCGGUAAAAGGUGGGGGGUGCCAUCCCAAAGCUUUCGAACUCCUUUCUAUGUCUUAGAUUGCAUUUAAUCUCAUCUCUCACAUGUUGCAUUGUACAAUUGCAUAGUAAAACCUUUCCUUAUGCUUUCUAAUUGAUAUCUUAGUAUACUUGGAACGCUUGGUAACUUAGACAGGUGAGGAUUGGGUCGGAACGUGGAUCCUAUGAUGCGAAAGAAAAGAGAUGAACCCGAUGGCGGUGUUGAUGAAAUAGAAAGUAGUGUUAAAUAUUAAAGAACAAACGAGUGGCAUCCAAAUGUUAAAGAAUAACGAGUGGCAUUAAUGUAGUGUAAAUGACACUAGAGGUUUGAGAACCUAGGGAUAGAUGGAUCCCUUAGAAAAUGCCUUGUGAAUAAUGAAUUUAGAAAAGCUAAAUAGCAUUGCAUGAAUGUCGGGAACAGAUGAUUCUGCGAGAGAUGUUGACCCGAGUUGUAGGGUAUCCUAACUUGGAGAGGAUUUGAUCGGGUUGUUGACCCUAGUUGUAGGGUAUCCUCACUUGGAGAGGAUAGAUCUAGCUCACAGUCUGCUUUUGGGUUGGUAUAGCAAUCCAUAUUCCCACAUGGAGGGGAUUGUCGUCGAGUACUUCGGAGUGUCGUGCGACUAGGACCACUUGGAUGUCCGGACCACAUGGAGGUCCACAGACGGUCCCGGGCUUGGGUGCACUUGGAGCGCCCUCCCCACUUUGGGAUUGAAAGGUGAGUUAUUGGCGAACCUAAGGGCUUCGCUACAGAUUGGGUAAAGGAACAGUGAACAAUGUCAUUGAACAUUAUUAUUCGAACAUGGAUCGAAUUCGUUAGCAUGAUAGUAAACCUUUACUAUAUGAUGCAUGCAUUCAUUCUACAUGAUUAUGGGCAUAGUAGCAUAGAUUUCCUUUAUGCCUUUACUGCUUUGAGAUAUCUAUCUAUCUAUCUACCUGUUGUUGCUUGUGCCCACUUGGACUUAGUGGGGAGAUCGGCAGAGUCGGCGGCCGAGCCCACUGGGAACUAUGGAAGAUAGUUUUCACCCCACUCUAUUUCCAGUGGUAGGUACAGGGCUGCCGAGAGAGGACCGCGGCAAGGGCAUCGCGCCCGAUCAGUGAGACCGCGGUAGUAUAGUAGCUUUCCUUUUGCAUUAGCACACCUAUGUAUUGAGAGAGACUCAUGUAGGUGAGGUUAGAGAGCUAUGCAUUUUGAGGAUCGAAUGUAUUCAUUUUGGGAAAAAGAUGUAAAUGUAAAAGAAUGCAACUAUUGUAAUAGCUAUUAAAGUACUCUCUUUAUUUCACAUGCUUUAUCUUGUGGAUUACUCGCUCUUGUAGUUGUUGGCACUAUUUGUGCCCCGUCGAAUGUGUAUGUUUAGAAUUUAAAUUUUCUGGGUAAAUUCUUGUACACAUUCCUGUUGUCGAGCCUUGGGCUGACAGGGGAGGUGCUGUCCGUUCGGCGGUCCGCCGCCGCCCCCGAAUCGUGCCAAAUUGGUUGUAGUUUCGGGGCCGGGCGUGACAGCUGUUGUGGUAUCAAAGCAUUAAGAGCAAGUAAAGAGAGAGUCUAGGAUGACCUAGGAGACCCUAGGUUUGUGAGCCCUAAGGUUAUAGGUGUGUGAGCGGAACGUGAACCUAUAGCGAUGGCGGAAGUUGAUUCGAUUGGUUCGAGGUCGGCUUUGUGUCUCUAGUUGCGACUAGAGAUAGAUUCAAGUAGUAUGAGUUCUUGUCUUGAGGUGUGUAACACACUGGACCUGUGCAAAUCGCGAGGUUCGAGUGUUUGAUUUGUGUGUCGAGCUUUUUCAGACUUUCUGAAGGGUCGUAGACAGUGUUCCGACCUAUGGCUCGCAUCCCGAGAAUUGAGGGUUUAAACUUGUACCAAAAUCCCGAAAGGUUGGAUUGUUGGUGUGCUCUCGGGUUAGCCUCAGCCAGGCUGUGUACUGGUACAGCCUUGAUGGUUGUACCGGUACAGAAUUUGUACCGGUACCCUUGAUGGAUGUACCGGUACACAAUGGAUUUCCUGACAACCCGAGGCUCGGGUUAGGCAGUUUCGCAGGAGGUGUACCGGUACACUUUCCCGUGUACCGGUACACAAUGCAGAUUUUGGCUGUUUCGUGGAGGGGUGUUUUUGCAAUUGUUGCAACCCCUAUUUAAGCACACCCCAGCCCCUUGGGGGCUGUUUUGAGCCCUAGAACAGUGGAGAGCAAGGUAAGAGGAGUUCCUUUGAUUUUUCUUCCCCAUUUUUGAUGGAUUUUGGUUGGUUUUGAUCCCUCCUCUCUUCUUCACCUUGCUUUUUGUUGGGUUCCACCAUGGUUGAAGGCUUGAUGCUUGGAGAGGAGCUUACUUGGGAGGAGAUCUCCCACCCCAUUUGGAUUGGAGCCUAGUUUGGAGCUUCUAAGAGGUGAGUAAGUAGAUCCUUUCCUCUAGAUCUAGUUUUUGUUUGUUCUUUUGAUUGAAACCCUAGAUUUGGCACAUUAGGGCUAAAAAUGGGGAUCUUCGAUUUGAGGGCUUUGGAACCAAAUUGAUGGGUUUAGAACCUUUGUUUAGGUCAGAUUGGAAGGACUCUAACUCCCAUUUGGAGAUCGUGAGAGCCUCCUUCGCAAUCGGUAAGUUUUCUCCAACCCUAGCUUGAGAAGCUUAAUGAUUGAGCUAGGUAUUGUUCGUUUGGUUCAUGUGACACUUGUUUUUAUACCUCUAGGGUACUCGAAGAGCUAAGAGGACCCCCUCGUUGAGGAACGAGGAGUCGUUGUCAUCGUGGAUUGGCUUCGUGAAAUGGGAAGCGAAUGGCCCCUACUGCCUUUCUACUUGAUGUAAAAUAUGUAAAUUCAUUUCUAUGCUAAUGGAAAUCAUAUGAAUUUAAGGCACUUAAAACUGCAUGCCUUGUGUAAUAUAAAAAUUUCAACUAUAUAGUAGGAGCUAUAUGAGUAAAUGCUCAUUACGGAGAAAAGUGGUUAUUCAUGCAAAUGGAAUAUACAUCUCAUUAUGAGGAUUUAGCCUUGGAAUAUGUACUUUUGGAACAUAGUUGCAUGCUUUGACAUACGAGAACAAGAGUGUCAUCAAGGGGCACUUGAAACUAGUAAACUAUGAACUGCAACACAGAGCAUACUGAUACGCCACACAUAUCUGCUAUAUUCCUGUUAGAGACAUGAUGACAUAGAGGUAGGCCAUUGAGAUACUUGAUUUAUUCCAUGUUGUUAGACAUGACGACUUGGUACUUGAGACAGAUCAUUGCUUGCUUGCCAUUGUGCUCAUUCGCACAUGCUUGUGAAGGGUCGCUCCCUACAAGGCGGCACUCCGGAGUAAGCCAUCGCGACAUAUGCCCCUAGCGGGAUUGGGCGCCGAAAGUGGAUUGCCGUGGGGAGACUCAUCCCUAGAGGGGGAUGUUGACUACCACGGGCAUUAGGCACGGCGCAGGCCAGACAGCCUUCGGGAGGGUCUUAUAUGAUUGGGACUUGGUGACAGAACAUGCUAUUGAACCUUAUAACUGUUAAAGUGGACUUGAAACUAGACUAGUAACAAUCCGACAUCUUUACUAUUACACUGUGACUUGGGUAGUUGUAUAAUUAUGCUUACAUGUUGGUGUUCAUGUGCAUAUAGCUAGUAGUUGCUUUCUUACUUAUACAAACAUUCUAAGUAGAGAUAUCAUGAUUAUUGGUACUCGUUUAUUUAUUUACUUACAGUGCAUUAUGGCUUUUGUUAUAGUUGUACACUGACCCUCUUUUAUAGUUUUGGGCCUAGUGGUGCAUUUCACUAAGUCAGUAAUUGCCCACUGGGAACUAUUUAUUUAAUAGUUCUCACGCCCUGUUUCUAUGUUUCCUUUCAGAGCUUCGGCAUCGGCGCGGCACGGGAUCGCGGCAAGGGUGUCGCUUAGCUAGCUCGCGGAGAGUUAUUUUGCGCUAGGUGGUUACUCCUCCAUUUUGUAUUUUGAGAGAGGAAGGAGUUUUGUACCAUGUAUAGAGAGACCACCUUGUACUUCUUUUAGCACUUGUUAUGGGAUUCCUAUUGUACUUACUCUAUGUUUUUAUUUAGUGGACUUUCAGCUUUAUGUUUCUUUCCCUAUUGUAGAACUUAGUAUUAUAUCACGCUCUGAUACUCCUAGAUGCCUUUUAUUAUUGCUUUCAUUUCCGUUGUUUUUGUAGACGCCUUAUAUGUUUUAGACGUAUGGCGGGUCUGGACACGCGCCGGGUAGGCUUCCGCUGAGCCCCGGGGCGUGACAGAUUAAUUUGGUAUCAGAGCCUAGGGUUGAGUCUUAGGGGACCUAGCAAACCUUAGGCCGGUUGGACUAUAGGAAAUAGGCUCGUGAGAGAUGAGGUCUAUUCGACUUGUAAGCGAAGGUAUCUAGAUUGGGUAUCUUGAAUAACUCUAGAAAGUGGAGUUAAAUUGAAGUGUAUAACUCCUAACUUCGCGGAGGGUUACGUUGGCGGCCGACAACGUAACAUCGGGAGUUAGUAGUGAAGAACACUUCUUUACUUUCGCAUGAUUUGGGGUUUGCCUUUUGAGUGGGGAUGCGAUAGCGUGAGUAUUUCUAACUUGCGCUUUUAUGUUUUGUGGUGACGAUACCGAUUAGUCGCUCCCAAUCUGCCGGGGUGGACAAUGCGGCGAACUUUGAGGAGGUCGAGACCUCCGCUACCUCCGGAUCCAGCGAGGUCCGCGAGUUGAGGGGCCAGCUUGCGCCCCUCACUGAUUUAGUUACUCAGCAGGCGGAGGCGGCCCGACAUUAGACCGAGGCGGCGCGCCGACAGGAGGCGCGGAUGAAGCGCCUGGAGGAUCUACUUCUGCAGCAGGCAGCAGCUUUUAGGGAGACGCAGGGCCCUACACCGCCAGCACCAGUUGUGGACGUUGCACCGAGAGCGCCGUCCCUCGCCCCCAGUUCUUCGCGUGCGGCGCCUGCGGCUGUACUCCAGGAGGAGGUUUUGGCGGCACCACCUGUGCAGAGGCCCCCGGUUGGAGCAGCUUUUCCUACUUUGGUGGAGGGGGCGGAACGAGACAGACUGAUGGAGCGCCUCAAUGAAUUCAGGAGGUGCAGCCCCCGAGUCUUCGACGGCGAGAAGGUCGACCACUGGAUCGGGGAGAAGUGGUUGAUGCAUAUGGAGAAGCUCUUCCGCGACAUCUUCGUGGAGGAGAGGGAUCGAGUUUGGCUCGCCACCCACCACUUGGACGGCGAGGCCUACCGGUGGUGGUUGGAUUUCCAGGAGCACCCCAGCACUGACUUGGCGGCUAUCACUUUGACGAGGUUCAAGGAGCUUCUUCUUGCGCACUAUUUCCCGACGAGCGUGAAGAGGAAGAUGGAGCAGGAUUUGCGCAACUUGCGCCAGGGUGACGGACCGUAGCCGAGUACGAGAGGGAGUUUUCUCGGCUUCUGCAUUGCGUGCCUUUCAUCGUAGGGGACGACGAGGACAAGGCCCGCAUCUUCGAGCAGGGAUUGAGACCGUCUAUCUUUCGGUUUGUGCAAUCCUCUAACCUCCAAACCUACCGGGAGGUGGUGGAUCGCGCGCUCAUCGUGGAGAGCGGCGCGGCGGAUGUCCAAGAGCAGCGUGAGGCUAGAGACAAAGGGAAGGCCAAGAGGCCUGCGGCUGAGGGUGCGGGCCAGACGCACUCUAGGAAGCCGCCGAAGCAUUCGAGGAGUCAGCAGCGUGGGCGUGGCUCGGCGACUUACCGUGGAGGUUCUGACCGACGCCGACCUCCCCAGUGCGUGAUCUGUGGUGGUCCCCACAUUCCACCGCAGUGCCCGCAGCGGGGAGGGAGGUGUUUCCAGUGUGGCCAGGAGGGCCACUUCCGGACCGAGUGCCCGAGGGGAUCUUCACCGGCACCGUCGACUGCAUCGGCACCGGCUCUACCAGCCGCCAGCCAGGGGACUCCAUCGACACAGUACCAGCCUGGGCGACCACCCGUCCAGCGCCAGGGCGAGGGAUCUCGACAGGCCCCGAGUGGGCGUAUGUAUGCCGCUCAGACCGAGGAGGCGGCAGCAGCCGAGGAUGUGGUUGCAGGUAUCAUUUUACUUGAUGGCAUUAGAGUUCGUGCUUUAUUUGAUACCGGUGCAUCGCAUUCAUUUAUUGAUCGGCUGUUUGCCGAGUUGCAUGGCAUCCCAUUGGUUUCUUUACUGCAUCCGGGACAUGUUGUUGUACCCGACCACAUCUUGGACAUUAGAGAGUAUAGCCCCAGUUGCCCUGUGCGGGUAGGAAACUGGAUUAUGCCUGUAGAUUUGCUAGCUUUGCGCAAGCUUGGGGAUUUUGAUGUGGUCUUGGGUAUGGAUUGGUUGACCAAGUAUUACGCCACGAUUGAUUGCAAGAAUCGCACGGUUACUUUUAGAGAACCGGGGCAAACGGAGGUGGUAUUUUGUGGAUGCCGGAGUUCACUAUUUGCGAUGACGAUCAGCUCGUUUCGAGCUAGGCAGCUGAUCAGCAGAGGUUGUAUAGCCUACCUGGCUAGUGUCGUGCUGAGGGGCGCGGAUGACACCCCUAGGAUCGAGGAUAUCCCGGUGGUGCGAAAGUUCCAGGAUGUGUUUCCAGCUGAGCUACCGGGUAUGCCUCCUGAUAGGGAGAUUGAGUUUGUGGUAGAUCUCGUCCCUGGGACUACCCCAAUCUCAAAGGCACCUUAUAGGAUGGCACCGGCAGAGCUGAGGGAGCUGAGGGCACAGCUGCAGGAUUUGUUGGACAAAAGCUUCAUUCGACCGAGCGUUUCACCUUGGGGAGCACCCGUUUUGUUCGUCAAGAAAAAGGACGGAUCGCUCCGCCUUUGUGUGGAUUAUCGUGAACUUAUAAAGUCACGAUCAAGAACAAGUAUCCGUUGCCAAGGAUCGACGACUUGUUUGAUCAGCUUCAGGGAUCAUGUGUGUAUUCCAAGAUAGACUUGCAGUCGGGAUACCACCAGUUAAAGAUUAAACCCGAGGAUGUAUCUAAGACGGCUUUCAGGAUACGGUAUGGACACUAUGAGUUCACAGUUAUGCCGUUUGGGCUUACUAAUGCCCCGGCAGCUUUUAUGGAUCUAAUGAACCGUGUUUUCAAGCCUUAUCUGGACAGGUUCGUCGUGGUGUUGAUCGACUACAUUUUGGUCUACUCCUGAAGCGAUGUGGAUCACGAGGAGCAUUUGAGGAUUGUACUCCAAGUACUUCGGGAAAAGGAGCUUUAUGCCAAGUUGAAGAAAUGUGAAUUUUGGCUUCGAGAGGUAGCUUUCCUUGGACACUUGAUUUCGAGAUCGGGUAUAGCCGUGGAUCCCAAAAAGAUUGAAGCAAUCAGGGAUUGGCCGAGACCGACGAGUGUCACGGAGAUACUGAGCUUCCUUGGAUUGGCCGGUUACUACCGGAGAUUCGUAGAGGGGUUUGCUAAACUGUCUACUCCCCUCACGAGGCUCACGCAUAAAGGUGUUAAGUUCAUUUGGAAUGAUGCGUGCGAGAGAAGCUUCCAAGAGUUGAAGCAACGAUUGACUACCGCCCCGAUCUUGACCCUACCAGUAGCUGAGCAGGGUAUGUGGUUUAUAGUGAUGCUUCACUUAAUGGUUUGGGCUGUGUAUUGAUGCAGGAUGGCAGGGUGAUCGCGUAUGUUUCUCGCCAACUAAAGGAUUAUGAAAAGAACUACCCUACGCAUGAUUUGGAGUUGGCGGCCGUAGUGUUCGCAUUGAAGCUAUGGCGCCACUACCUUUAUGGCGAACGGUGUGAAGUAUACACGGAUCACAAGAGCUUAAAGUACCUGUUUACUGAGAAGGAGCUGAACUUGAGGCAGCGCAGAUGGUUGGAGCUACUCAAGGAUUAUAAUCUGACGAUUCUUUACCACCCGGGCAAGGCUAACGUGGUGGCAGAUGCGCUAAGUAGGAAAUCGAUGGAAAACUUAGCGAUGCAUGUUGUGAGUCAACCGCAGUUGAUCGAGCAGAUGAAGCGGUUGGAGUUGGAGAUAGUGACUCCUGACACACCCUUGAGAUUGAUGACAUUAGUAGUGCAACCUACCUUGCUGGAUAGAAUUAAAGAAAAG